CGGAAGAGCCAGAGUUUCCAAGAAAAAUAAACGUCUGUCCUUUGGAACAGCAGCUAUACUUCUUGUCACAGCCAACUUUCAGUUUGCCUGAUGCUGAUUAUCUCGCCACAAAUGAACAUCUAGACCAUGUGCUCUUCUCUUCUUGCUUGGAAGCUAUCAAGAGCCACCUGCUGUUUGCACUGUCAUUCAUAAUUCCCACAGAACAGAUUUGAAGGUAGUCAGUCCAACAGGAUGUCAACUACAGGUCCAAAGAAGUGUGGGUUCCUGUUUUACCAAAGAAGAAAAACCUUCACUCAUCUCUCCUGGCUUUGGAAUUUUAUAGCUUAUUGAACAAAUCUCCAUUGAAACAGUACUCCUGAAUUUGAGAAAAUGUAUAGCAUCAUUUUGAGUUUAUCUUAUUCAAAACUGCUUUAGUAAACUUUUGCUUAUCAGUGUUGAAAAGAUGUGUUAAAACCAGUUUGGCAACUUCUUUUUAUAUAGCAUGCUUAGAGGGCCCCGAGGAAAGAGUUUUGAAACCGUAUCAGUGUUAGAACUAAAACUGAACGCUUUUAAACAAGAAUAUUCAUGAUAUUCGUUUCUCUGUUUGGAUUCAUCUUUUUAAAACCCAAGAUUUCAUAAUAGGAGUUAAUUACCAAUGGAAGAUUUUCUAGUGGUAGAUCCCCACCAGGUA